rnacentral:rRNA from 1 species
CGGGUGGCGGACGGGUGAGUAAUGUCUGGGAAACUGCCCGAUGGAGGGGGAUAACUACUGGAAACGGUAGCUAAUACCGCAUAACGUCGCAAGACCAAAGAGGGGACCUUCGGGCCUCUUGCCAUCGGAUGUGCCCAGAUGGGAUUAGCUAGUAGGUGGGGUAACGGCUCACCUAGGCGACGAUCCCUAGCUGGUCUGAGAGGAUGACCAGCCACACUGGAACUGAGACACGGUCCAG